rnacentral:rRNA from 1 species
GAUGAACGCUGGCGGCGUGCCUAAUACAUGCAAGUCGAACGGGAACCAUGUUUUCGGAUAUGGUGAGAGUGGCGCACGGGUGAGUAACACAUGGCUGACCUGCCCUUCAGGGGGGGACAACCAGUGGAAACGCUGGCUAAUACCCCAUACGUUCUUCGGGAUUAGAAGCCGGAGAAGAAAGUGCUUAGCGCUGAAGGAGGGGGCUGUGGCCCAUCAGCUAGUUGGUAGGGUAACGGCCUACCAAGGCGAGGACGGGUAGGGGGCCUGAGAGGGUGACCCCCCACACGGGUACUGAGAGACGGACCCGACUCCUACGGGAGGCAGCAGUAAGGGAUAUUGCGCAAUGGACGAAAGUCUGACGCAGCAACGCCGCGUGCGGGAUGACGGCCUUCGGGUUGUAAACCGCUUUUCAGGGUGAAGAGGAAGGACGG